UGGGGAAUAUUGCACAAUGGACGAAAGUCUGAUGCAGCAACGCCGCGUGGAGGAUGACACAUUUCGGUGCGUAAACUCCUUUUAUAUAGGAAGAUAAUGACGGUACUAUAUGAAUAAGCACCGGCUAACUCCGUGCCAGCAGCCGCGGUAAUACGGAGGGUGCAAGCGUUACUCGGAAUCACUGGGCGUAAAGAGCGUGUAGGCGGAUAUAUAAGUCAGAAGUGAAAUCCAAUAGCUUAACUAUUGAACUGCUUUUGAAACUGUAUAUCUAGAAUGUGGGAGAGGUAGAUGGAAUUUCUGGUGUAGGGGUAAAAUCCGUAGAGAUCAGAAGGAAUACCGAUUGCGAAGGCGAUCUACUGGAACAUUAUUGACGCUGAGACGCGAAAGCGUGGGGAGCAAACA
rnacentral:rRNA from 1 species